CGCGAAACCUUUACACUGCACGACAGUGCGAUAGGGGAACUCCGAGUGCGAGGGCAUAGAGCCCUCGCUUUUCUGCACCGUAAGGUGGUGCAGGAACAAGUGCUGGGCAAGACCGGUGCCAGCCGCCGCGGUAAUACCGGCAGCACGAGUGAUGGCCGAUCUUAUUGGGCCUAAAGCGUCCGUAGCUGGCCGUGCAAGUCCGUCGGAAAAUCCAGUGGCCCAACCUCUGGGCUUCCGGCGGAAACUGCUCGGCUUGGGACCGGAAGACUCGAGGGGUACGUUCGGGGUAGGAGUGAAAUCCCGUAAUCCUGAACGGACCACCGAUGGCGAAAGCACCUCGAGAGCACGGAUCCGACAGUGAGGGACGAAAGCUAGGGUCUCGAACCGGAUUAGAUACCCGGGUAGUCCUAGCUGUUAACGAUGCCCGCUCGGUUCGGCGCAGGCUACGAGCCUGUGCCGCGCCUCAGUGAAGACGUAAGCGGGCCGCCGGGGAAGUACGUCCGCAAGGAUGAAACUUAAAGGAAUUGGCGGGGGAGCACUACAACCGGAGGAGCCUGCGGUUUAAUUG
rnacentral:rRNA from 1 species